AGCGGCAGGCCUAAUACAUGCAAGUCGAGGGGCGAGCAUGACUGUAGCAAUACAGUUGAUGGCGACCGGCAAACGGGUGCGGAACACGUGCGCAACUACCCUUAAUAGGGGAUAGCCCAGGGAAACUUGGAUUAAUACCUUUUAUUAUUAUGGAGUGGCAUCACUUUAUAAUGAAAGCUCCGGCGCUUAAGGAUGGGCGCGCGUCUGAUUAGGUAGUUGGCGGGGUAACGGCCCACCAAGCCUACGAUCAGUAACUGGUGUGAGAGCACGACCAGUCACACGGGCACUGAGACACGGGCCCGACUCCUACGGGAGGCAGCAGUAAGGAAUAUUGGUCAAUGGACGCAAGUCUGAACCAGCCAUGCCGCGUGGAAGGAUGACUGCCCUCUGGGUUGUAAACUCCUUUUAUUUGGGAAGAAAUCUACGAUUUUGAUUGUAGUUGACGGUACCAUUUGAAUAAGCACCGGCUAACUCCGUGCCAGCAGCAGC
rnacentral:rRNA from 1 species